rnacentral:rRNA from 1 species
CAAUAGCGUAUAUUAAAGUUGUUGCAGUUAAAAAGCUCGUAGUUGGAUUUCUUGGAGGGUGCCAAUGUCCGCUACGGCGUGCGCAGCGGCGCCCUUCCAUCCUUCUGUUAACGCCUCUUGGCAUUCGUUUGCUGGUGGCGGGCUCAGAUAUUUUACCUUGAGAAAAUUAGAGUGUUUCAGGCAGGCUAGGCCGGAAUACAUUAGCAUGGAAUAAUGGAACAGGACUAUGGCCUCUUUGUUGGUUUGAGGGACUGCAGUAAUGAUUAAUAGGGACAGUUGGGGGCAUUAGUAUUUAAUUGUCAGAGGUGGAAUUCUCAGAUUUGUUAAAGACUAACUUAUGCGAAAGCAUUUGCCAAGGAUGUUUUCAUUAA